GACGAACGCUGGCGGCGUGCCUAAUACAUGCAAGUUGAGCGCUGAAGGUUGGUACUUGUACCAACUGGAUGAGCAGCGAACGGGUGAGUAACGCGUGGGGAAUCUGCCUUUGAGCGGGGGACAACAUUUGGAAACGAAUGCUAAUACCGCAUAAAAACUUUAAACACAAGUUUUAAGUUUGAAAGAUGCAAUUGCAUCACUCAAAGAUGAUCCCGCGUUGUAUUAGCUAGUUGGUGAGGUAAAGGCUCACCAAGGCGAUGAUACAUAGCCGACCUGAGAGGGUGAUCGGCCACAUUGGGACUGGGACACGGCCCAAACUCCUACGGGAGGCAGCAGUAGGGAAUCUUCGGCAAUGGACGAAAGGCUGACCGAGCAACGCCGCGUGAGUGAAGAAGGUUUUCGGAUCGUAAAACUCUGUUGGUAGAGAAGAACGUUGGUGAGAGUGGAAAGCUCAUCAAGUGACGGUAACUACCCAGAAAGGGACGGCUAACUACGUG
rnacentral:rRNA from 1 species